CCUCAAUCAGGUAGACUACCGCUGAACUUAA
rnacentral:rRNA from 1 species